rnacentral:rRNA from 1 species
CUACGGGGUGCUGCAGUCGAGGAAAUUUUACAAUGCUCGCAAGAGUGAUAGAAUAAACCAGAGUGUUUCUCCUAGAGAAACUUUUGUCAACUGUAAAAAGGUUGACGAAUAAGGACUGGGCAAGACCGGUGCCAUCCGCCGCGGUAAUACCGGCGGUCCAAGUCGUAUCCACAUUUAUUGGGUCUAAAACAUUCGUAGCUUGUUUUGUAAGUUUCUUGUGAAAUCUGAUACCUCAAGUAUCAGGCGUGCAAGAAAUACUACAUUACUAGAGACCGGAAGAUGCAAAGAGUAUGAUUGAGGUAGCGGUAAAAUGUGUUAAUCUCAAUCAGAAUAACAAUGGCGAAGGCACUUUGCAAGUACGGUUCUGACAGUGAGGAAUGAAGGCUAGGGGCGCAAAACGGAUUAGAUACCCGGGUAGUC